rnacentral:rRNA from 1 species
CGCUUAACACAUGCAAGUCGAACGGGAUCUUCGGAUCUAGUGGCAGACGGGUGAGUAACGCGUGGGAACCUGCCCAGUAGUAGAGAAUAACUUGAGGAAACUUAAGCUAAUACUUUAUACACCCUUCGGGGAAAAGCUUUAUGCGCUAUUGGAUGGGCCCGCGUUAGAUUAGUUUGUUGGUGAGGUAAUGGCUCACCAAGACUACGAUCUAUAGCUGGUCUGAGAGGAUGAUCAGCCACACUGGGACUGAGACACGGCCCAGACUCCUACGGGAGGCAGCAGUGGGGAAUAUUGGACAAUGGGGGCAACCCUGAUCCAGCGAUGCCGCGUGAGUGAUGAAGGCCUUCGGGUUGUAAAACUCUUUCGUCAGGGAAGAUAAUGACGGUACCUGAAGAAGAAGAUCCGGCUAACUCCGUGCCAGCAGCCGCGGUAAUACGGAGGGAUCUAGCGUUAUUCGGAAUUACUGGGCGUAAAGCGAGCGUAGGCGGAUUUGUAAGUUGGAGGUGAAAUCCCAGAGCUUAACUCUGGAACUGCCUUCAAAACUACAUUUCUUGAGUUUGGUAGAGGAGAGUGGAAUUCCUAGUGUAGAGGUGAAAUUCGUAGAUAUUAGGAGGAACACCAGUGGCGAAGGCGACUCUCUGGGCCAAUACUGACGCUGAGGUUCGAAAGCAUGGGUAGCGAACAGGAUUAGAUACCCUGGUAGUCCAUGCAGUAAACGAUGAGUGCUAGAUGUUGGGAAUUUAAAUUUCCAGUAUCGCAGUUAACGCGUUAAGCACUCCGCCUGG